CUGGAUCCAUCAGGCACACAAAAAACACUCUCCAGCUCUCUCCCCGAAGUGGAGCAGACAAAAGUGCUGUUGAUGCUGAAGCUGCAGAAAGCUUCAGAAGGCCCCGUGGGAGGAAGCUUGGCACGAGAGGCGAGCAGCUCCAACUGACCCUGGAAGGGAGCAGCAGGCUGGGGUGAGAUCCAGACUCCGCUCAGAUCGGAAUGCCUGCACCCUUUGCCUUGCCUCACUGUGAAGGAGAGAAACGGUCUGCCU
rnacentral:lncRNA from 1 species